UGGGGAAUAUUGCACAAUGGGCGAAAGCCUGAUGCAGCGACGCCGCGUGAGGGAUGACGGCCUUCGGGUUGUAAACCUCUUUCAGUAGGGAAGAAGCGAAAGUGACGGUACCUGCAGAAGAAGCGCCGGCUAACUACGUGCCAGCAGCCGCGGUAAUACGUAGGGCGCAAGCGUUAUCCGGAAUUAUUGGGCGUAAAGAGCUCGUAGGCGGUUUGUCGCGUCUGCCGUGAAAGUCCGGGGCUCAACUCCGGAUCUGCGGUGGGUACGGGCAGACUAGAGUGAUGUAGGGGAGACUGGAAUUCCUGGUGUAGCGGCGAAAUGCGCAGAUAUCAGGAGGAACACCGAUGGCGAAGGCAGGUCUCUGGGCAUUAACUGACGCUGAGGAGCGAAAGCGUGGGGAGCGAACAGGAUUAGAUACCUGGUAGUCCAUGCCGUAAACGUUGGGCACUAGGUGUGGGGGACAUUCCACGUUUCCGCGCCGUAGCUAACGCU
rnacentral:rRNA from 1 species